CCAUGUAGCUCAGUUGGUUGAGCAUGGCACUUGCAACUCCAGGGUUGUGGGUUCGACUCCCACAAUGG
rnacentral:tRNA from 1 species